rnacentral:rRNA from 1 species
GUGAGGAAUAUUGGUCAAUGGGCGAGAGCCUGAACCAGCCAAGUCGCGUGAAGGAAGAAGGAUCUAUGGUUCGUAAACUUCUUUUGCAGGGGAAUAAAGUGCAGGACGUGUCCUGUUUUGUAUGUACCCUGAGAAUAAGGAUCGGCUAACUCCGUGCCAGCAGCCGCGGUAAUACGGAGGAUCCGAGCGUUAUCCGGAUUUAUUGGGUUUAAAGGGUGCGUAGGUGGUUUGAUAAGUCAGUGGUGAAAGUUUGCAGCUUAACUGUAAAAAUGCCGUUGAAACUGUCGGACUUGAGUGUAAAUGAGGUAGGCGGAAUGCGUGGUGUAGCGGUGAAAUGCAUAGAUAUCACGCAGAACUCCGAUUGCGAAGGCAGCUUACUAAGCUACAACUGACACUGAAGCACGAAAGCGUGGGGAUCAAACAGGAUUAGAAACCCUGGUAGUCC